GUACACUCCUACGGGAGGCAGCAGUGGGGAAUAUUGCACAAUGGGCGCAAGCCUGAUGCAGCCAUGCCGCGUGUAUGAAGAAGGCCUUCGGGUUGUAAAGUACUUUCAGCGGGGAGGAAGGCGAUAAGGUUAAUAACCUUGUCGAUUGACGUUACCCGCAGAAGAAGCACCGGCUAACUCCGUGCCAGCAGCCGCGGUAAUACGGAGGGUGCAAGCGUUAAUCGGAAUUACUGGGCGUAAAGCGCACGCAGGCGGUCUGUCAAGUCGGAUGUGAAAUCCCCGGGCUCAACCUGGGAACUGCAUUCGAAACUGGCAGGCUAGAGUCUUGUAGAGGGGGGUAGAAUUCCAGGUGUAGCGGUGAAAUGCGUAGAGAUCUGGAGGAAUACCGGUGGCGAAGGCGGCCCCCUGGACAAAGACUGACGCUCAGGUGCGAAAGCGUGGGGAGCAAACAGGAUUAGAAACCCGGGUAGUCCC
rnacentral:rRNA from 1 species